UACGUAGGGUGCAAGCGUUGUCCGGAAUUAUUGGGCGUAAAGAGCUCGUAGGCGGUUUGUCGCGUCUGCUGUGAAAACUCAGGGCUUAACUCUGAGCUUGCAGUGGGUACGGGCAGACUAGAGUGCGGUAGGGGAGACUGGAAUUCCUGGUGUAGCGGUGAAAUGCGCAGAUAUCAGGAGGAACACCGGUGGCGAAGGCGGGUCUCUGGGCCGUAACUGACGCUGAGGCGCGAAAGCGUGGGGAGCAAACAGG
rnacentral:rRNA from 1 species